CGGCGGACGGGUGAGUAACGCGUGGGUAGCCUACCCUGUACACACGGAUAACAUACCGAAAGGUAUGCUAAUACGGGAUAAUAUAUUUGAGAGGCAUCUCUUAAAUAUCAAAGGUGAGCCAGUACAGGAUGGACCCGCGUCUGAUUAGCUAGUUGGUAAGGUAACGGCUUACCAAGGCGACGAUCAGUAGCCGACCUGAGAGGGUGAUCGGCCACAUUGGAACUGAGACACGGUCCAA
rnacentral:rRNA from 1 species